GACGAACGCUGGCGGCGUGCUUAACACAUGCAAGUCGAACGGAAAGGCCCUGCUUUUGUGGGGUGCUCGAGUGGCGAACGGGUGAGUAACACGUGAGUAACCUGCCCUUGACUUUGGGAUAACUUCAGGAAACUGGGGCUAAUACCGGAUAGGAGCUCCUGCUGCAUGGGGGGGGUUGGAAAGUUUCGGCGGUUGGGGAUGGACUCGCGGCUUAUCAGCUUGUUGGUGGGGUAGUGGCUUACCAAGGCUUUGACGGGUAGCCGGCCUGGGAGGGUGACCGGCCUCAUUGGGCCUACGGUACGGCCCAGACUCCUACGGGCGGCAGCAGUGGGGAAUACUGCACAAUGGGCGGAAGCCUGAUGCAGCAACGCCGCGUGCGGGAUGACGGCCUUCGGGUUGUAAACCGCUUUCGCCUGUGCCGAAGCGUGAGUGACGGUAAUGGGUAAAGAAGCACCGGCUAACUACGUG
rnacentral:rRNA from 1 species